rnacentral:rRNA from 1 species
GAUGAACGCUGGCGGCGUGCUUAACACAUGCAAGUCGAACGGAAAGGCUCCUGCUUGCAGGGGUACUCGAGUGGCGAACGGGUGAGUAACACGUGGGUGAUCUGCCCUGCACUUCGGGAUAAGCCUGGGAGACUGGGUCUAAUACCGGAUAGGACGAUGGUUUGGAUGCCAUUGUGGAAAGUUUUUCGGUGUGGGAUGAGCUCGCGGCCUAUCAGCUUGUUGGUGGGGUAAUGGCCUACCAAGGCGUCGACGGGUAGCCGGCCUGAGAGGGUGUACGGCCACAUUGGGACUGAGAUACGGCCCAGACUCCUACGGGAGGCAGCAGUGGGGAAUAUUGCACAAUGGGCGCAAGCCUGAUGCAGCGACGCCGCGUGGGGGAUGACGGCCUUCGGGUUGUAAACUCCUUUCGCUAGGGACGAAGCGCAAGUGACGGUACCUGGAGAAGAAGCACCGGCUAACUACGUG